AACAUCUAUUAUUUGUAUUAGAUCCUUGUCCAGUCAAUUAGAUAUUUGUCCAGUCAAUGUAAACCUUGUCCAGUCAGUGUGAACAUUGCCCAGUCUAGUUGCUAUUAUAGGGAGAUAACACAGAUAACACACAAACAUUGGUAUGUUUAUAAGAAACAUUUACAACAGUUGACUAGAAAAAGAUGUACAGAUGAAGUAUUAUUAAGUGAUACAUAUAUUGUCGGCAAAAGUGCAAUUGAUGUUUUUGUGUUUGAAGGAAAAAAUCACACCCUGUUUGUAGAAUACCUCAUUUAGGAUAUAAUGGAAUAUUGGAAUGAGAAACUUCUUGCAGAUGCUCGGACUGGAAAUGUACACGAUGUGAAAAUAUGCUUAGAGAAUAAAGCAGACAUUGAUUAUCAAUCGGUAGGU